AAGCAAAACACGCGGAGGGACUUCGUGGUGUAGCUCCGAGACGUAGCUCUGGGUUGGGAGCUACCUUAUGGUGUCGCUCUGGAAGGUCCCUCCAGGCCUAUGUUUUGGCCUCCAAAGUGAUGAAAAGGCGAGUGACGUAGGGGUGUAGCUCUGGAAGGUCGCUCUGGGUUGGGAGCUACCUUAUGGUGUCGCUCUGGAAGGUCACUCUGCGAUACUCGACCAGGAUGGAUAUGCCUCUAGUAAAUUGAUCAUAACUCCUUCAUUACAUCUCCAAAUGACUUGAAACCACUUCCAUUAGAAAGCUAACUCAAUUUUCUGUGUCUCCACAAAAUCUUAGCAACAGAAGAUUUCUCUAAAGGCUCCAUCCAUGCUCAUCUUUCACCCCCUUUUGGAUCAUAAUGCUCCCAAACAUCUCAAAUCACUCCAUGGCACACUCCAGCACCUAAUAAGGACAAUGAAUGCAAAAUGCAACCUAGACAUGGCUAAAUCCUAAUCUAUAUGAUAAAAAUGCUCAUGGAUGAAUGGAUAAAACAAUGUAAAUAUGCAAGAUAUCAGUAU